rnacentral:piRNA from 2 species
CAGAAUCUUGUACUUUGUGUCCACGAUGGU